CUUUCAGGGUCUUCAUGUUUCCUAAUUUCCUCUUUUGCAGAGUCCAGUUGGCUUCUAACACAUUCAAGUAAAUUUUAAAUUUCACAUAUUUUGUUUCUGUGUUGUAUUUUGGAUUUCAUGCUGGGAUAGGUUUUAUAGCUUAGUGGAGGCAGGCCCCAUAUGGGGGCAGGUUAGGGAAGACUCCUUGACUGUUGAUGUUGGGGGAAUGAAGCUGGAGUAAGGAGCCAUGCCCUCACUGAUGAGCUGUGUGUCUCUUACCUCUAGGUGGCUAAUCUUGCAGGAAUGAUGCUCCCCUUGGCCUUACUCCUCAUUGCAGGGCUCUCAGAGGUGGAAACCAGUGUCACCAGGGCUCCUUCUGGAUGGACCUAUAAUGUGGAAUGUUAUCACUGUGAGGUAAAAACUCCUUCAAUUGUCCAGAAAAGAAGAUAUGUGAAUAUCAUCUUAGACGCUGUAUGACAGUCUCCAUUCGUGUGAGCCCUCAUGAAAUACUCGUUUACAAGGACUGCACUUGGAACUGCACAUUUGUAUAUACUGCCCUCGUGCCUCUUGAAACCCCAAGAAGCCCUGGAACCGGGAAAACUAAUAGUUUCUAUUUUACUAAUUGCUGUAAUGGUAUGCAUUGCAAUGUAGGAGGACCUACUAACAUGGAGAGGGACUUAAUAGAUGACACUGUACUUGAGAAUGAUCUACUAGAUGGGACGGAAUGUUGGAUGACAUCAGCCUUCUUCCCGAUUUUCGCCUCCAUCAUAGCCAGCAAUACACAGACAUGAGAACCCUCUGUGGAGGAGUCUGUUAGCCUUCCCUUUCCCUCAGAUCAGUUUUGCUCUCCUUUGUCCCCGUGAUACAUUGCCAAGCUCCCAGUUGACCCAUUUAUGGUUCACUGUCAGCACAAAAUAAAGUCAUUGUUGAAAACAUUCAUGAACAGUUGUUUACUUCCAUGUACUUGGGCAAUCACACUGGUGUUUCUCCUUUUCUUUCCUUUACUGCACAC
rnacentral:lncRNA from 1 species